AGUAGUCAUAUGCUUGUCUCAAAGAUUAAGCCAUGCAUGUCUUAGUGCAAACUAAAUUAAAGUGAAACCGCGAAUGGCUCAUUAAAUCAGUUAUGGUUCCUUGGAUCCUACCAAGUUUACUUGGACAACUGUGGUAAUUCUAGAGCUAAUACGUGCACCUAGAGCUCCGUCCAGAAAUGGCCGGGGCGCAGUUAUUAGAUCAAAACCAAUCGGUCGGGCUCGCCCGUCCGUUGUUUUGGUGACUCUGAAUAACCACAGUUGAUCGCACGGCCUCGCGCCGGCGACGUAUCCUUCGAAUGUCUGCCUUAUCAACUGUCGAUGGUAGGUUCUGCGCCUACCAUGGUUGUAACGGGUAACGGGGAAUCAGGGUUCGAUUCCGGAGAGGGAGCCUGAGAAACGGCUACCACAUCCAAGGAAGGCAGCAGGCGCGCAAAUUACCCACUCCCGGCACGGGGAGGUAGUGACGAAAAAUAACGAUACGGGACUCAUCCGAGGCCCCGUAAUCGGAAUGAGAACACUCUAAAUCUUUUAACGAGUACCUAAUGGAGGGCAAGUCUGGUGCCAGCAGCCGCGGUAAUUCCAGCUCCAUUGGCGUAUUUAAG
rnacentral:rRNA from 1 species